GAAACGCGAUAGUUAAUGUGAAUUGCGGAAUUCAGUGAAUCAUCGAGUCUUUGAACGCACAUUGCGCCCAUAGGUAUUCCUUUGGGCAUGUCUGUUUGAGCGUCAUUACAACCCUCAGCUAACCGCUGGUUUUGAACCUGAACGGGUGACACCGCGCCGGUUUUAAAGUUGUAAGCUCUGCUGGCCGCUCUGCCCAACCAGAACAUAGUAAGCACUACUUGUCCGGGUGAAGCUGAACGGUACGGCCUGAACAAAACCUACCCACUCUCAAGGUUUGACCUCAGAUCAGACAAGGAUACCCGCUAAACUUAAGC
rnacentral:misc_RNA from 1 species